UUGUAAUGGGUUUUAUAAUUCAUUAAAUUAAAUAAAUAUUUAAAAAAAACUACAUUCUACAUGCCCGGGUAACACUGUCGCUUACCUUUGACAUGGCGUCAACCUUUUCAAGAUGAAAUUCUUUUCGCUGACCAUGUACAAGCGACUCGUUUAUCGCUCCUCUCUAUGGUGCGCGGUCACACUCCUUCAUUGCCAAAAAGAGAAGCGCGUGGUUUAGCCGCAUAGAAUUUGCAUAUUAAUAACGCAAUUGAAUCAAUUAUAAAUAUAUACAAAAUUAAAUAUUUGGUUUAUAGUUGAAAGUGCGUAAUCAAAUCCAAUCAGUAAAUUGGCAAGUGCAGCAGAACGAGCUAGUGUCCAACGCUUGCCGCGUGGAGCUCUCGAAACAUGUCGAAUGCGAAUGAGAAUGGAAGUGCCGGAGUGCAGGAGGAAGACGAUGCUGAAAUGCCCAAUGCACCAAUUCGAAAUGAUGCAUCACUCGACAAUAUUGUGUUUGCAGCUGCUUAUCAAAGCGACGACAGCUUGAAUGAUACAUUAGACCAAGCUGGCCAAGAGGAAGCCGAGGCUGAUGCAAACAGCAUGGAAAAUUCACCUGAAGAGGCCGCAGAGGUUGAUGCUGAAACGGAUGCUGAAGGUGAUGUUGAGGGUGAUGGUGAUGGUGAUGGUGAUGGUGAUGGUGAUGGAGAUGGCGAGGGGGACGGCGACGGAGAAGAAGAAGCUUCCGAAGAUGGCCAAGAAGCGGACAACGGCAAUGCUGGGGAUGAUCCAGCAGCGGACAGGCGCUCGGCCACGAAAAAGGAGCUCACACAAAUCAUUGACAAAUGGGAGCAAGAACAAACACAAGCCGGCUACGAUCCCGUGCCGACGCUAAGAAGUCUGGCCGAGAUAUUUGAGCGUGAAAAGGACUCAUACAUGCGUAAGGAUCCGGAUCCACUGGACUUAAGGCACCCCUAUCGCACCGAUCCCAGCUGCCAAUAUGGACUGUUGCUGAAGCUGCUCUUUCGUAAAGAUCUGUUUAUGGGCAAACUUCUCAACGAUUAUCUGCGAGACAACUAUUUCAGUCGCCAGAGCAUAAGUCGCAGCUCCCUGGAGCUGAAUAUUAUUGCCUGUCGGCUCAUAUUGGUCGUGAUGCCGGGUCUUGAGACGACGGCUGUAUUCCAGACGGCCGAGGAAGAUGGCAUAAUUAAUCGGCUCUACAAUUGGGCAGAGGACAGCAUUGAGCCGCUGCAGAGCUAUGCCACAGGCCUGCUGGCCGCUGCCAUGGAAGUAAGCGAUAUAGCGAUUACCUGUCGGGAGCAGAACAUGCGUCUGGUGCCCAAAAUGAUAAACCGGCUGCAUUUGUUACUGGCAUGCAGUCGAAUGAGCAAGAACACCACAACAGAGCCGAGCUCCUCGCUCAACAACUCCACGGACAGCAAUAUUUCGCCGGGCAUGCUCAGCUGGAUGGCGUGCGGUGGCGCUGCGUCCGCCCCUCAGUCGCCGCAGCAUAACGGCACCAGCGGCAGUGCUUCCAACAUGUCCAUUUUGUUUGAGAAUAGUCGCGAUGCGUUCUCCAUGUCGCGCUAUUACAAGCGCAUGUAUAUACCACUGCAUCCGCCCACAGCGGACACCAGCCAAAUGCUCAUCAUGCGCUUCCUGACCAGCCUGGGCGAAUACCAAGAGUUCUUGGCUAUGGCCUUCGGCAACAAUGUAAUGUCGCUGAUCUUUGGACAUCUAGAGGAGCUCGAUAGACGCGACACUUGCCUCGCCUACGAAGUGCUCAAAUAUCUAGCCUCGUUGCUCUGCCACAAAAAGUUUGCACUGGAGUUCAUAUCGCGUGGCGGCCUAGAGCUGCUAUUGAAUGUGCCACGACCCAGUUUGGCCACCACGGGCGUCUCCAUUGCCAUUUACUAUUUGGCAUACUGUGAGGAUGCUAUGGAACGGAUUUGCAGCAUGCCGCGUCCAUUGAUAUCGAAUCUAGUACGGUACGCGCUAUGGAUACUGGGCCGCUGUCAUGACUCCUCCAAGUGUCAUGCCACCAUGUUCUUCAGCUUGAGUUUCCAAUUUAAGGCAAUACUCGAUGAGUUCGACGCACAAGAUGGCCUUCGCAAGCUCUAUAAUGUUAUAUCGGUACUUAAAAUUCUCGAUCCCAGUCAUAACGACAACGACAAUGGCUCGGAAAUCAAUGAGGAUGUCGAGUGCGCGUCGCGUCAGAUGGUGCGACACGUGUGCAUCGCAUUGAAGCGCUACAUGGAAGCGCAUUUCUUCUACAAGUACAACAACUUUCUGUGUCAGCACUAUGCGAGCUCAUCGGCCUCAUCGUCGCACUACUUUAGCCAACAGCCUACUGUGGCCGCCAAGCUGACAUUCGACCAGUUGCACGAGCAGAUACGUACGCUGCAGGAGCACACCUCUGUGCGCGCUCAUUGGGAGCCCGUGGAUCAGCUAAUGAAGCUGGGCGGCAUUACGAUGCUCUUGCGCAUCAUUGCCUUCAGCUACGAUUGGGUGAACAAUGGACGCUCGGAGACGGUGCGCUCGGCCCUGGAUGUGCUCAGUGUGUGCUGUGUGAUACCGCGAGUCUAUCUGGUGCUCUGUGAACGACUGCAGAUGCCGGAUAAGACGACAACGUCUGGUUUCUGUUCAGUGCUGGGCGCAGCGGCCGGCGAGAUCACAGCCGACGCUGAGGUACUGAAAUCAGCUCUGGCCGUGCUCUGCCAUUGCGUAUGCUCGCCAAUCAUACGAAAGGACAGCAGCAGCAGCAGCCUCCUGAAGUUUGGCAACUCGUCGCGCAAGAACAAAGCCAACCAGAAAUAUGCCGAAGAGCUGAUCGAGAAGGUGUGGGAGUCGGUGUGCUCAAACAAUGGCAUUGUGGUGCUCCUCUCACUGAUGCAAACCAAGGGACCCAUCACCGAUGCCGACUGCAUACGCGGCAUGGCCUGUCGCGCUCUGGCCGGGCUGGCCCGUUCUGAUCGUGUACGGCAAAUCAUUAGCAAGCUGCCCCUGUUUGCCAGCGGGCAACUGCAGGCGCUCAUGCGGGAUCCCAUACUGCAGGAGAAGCGUGCUGAACAUGUCAUCUUCCAGAAGUACGCAUUGGAGCUGCUCGAACGCAUCUCCGGCAAGACAAAAACGAAGGCACUCACACCGCUCGAUCCGUCGCUCACCAACAUGCACAAGGCGAACGUGAUCGCCCAGACGCGCAUUCAAUACAACGAACAGCAGCUCUACCAGCUCAUUUUCGAGCACCUGGAGAGUAAGGGCCUCACACAAACCGCUCAGAUGCUGCAGCGGGAGGUGGGUCUGCCCUUGCAAACAACGACGACGCGCAGCUUUCAUCAGUCGCCCUUCGACUUCAAGGGCUUAUCUGGCAUCAGCUCAAUGUCGCGCAGUCGCCUGAGAAGCCGCAUGGCCGAUGUCUCUGCGGCCAUCAUGUCCAAUGGCGAUCAGAGUCGCAGUCUGUCAGAGGAUGCGUCGCCGCAUUGCAGCACUAGCGCCUGCACCUCGGGUACGGCCAAUGGAUCUUCUGCAGUGGGCGUGCCUGGUUUCAGCUACCUCAGCGCCCAAACACCCAUUAAACUGCGCAAGACAGAGCGUGCCACAUCCUCGGUAACACGUUCGUUGCAGAAACAAAUCAGCUUGGUCAAUCCGGAGUCAAGCGCUGUGGGACUGCCGGAUGAGUUGACUGUCUCUCCGGCUCUACAUCCGAAACGGGUGACGCUCAAUAGCAUUGUGACAGAGUAUCUGACGAAUCAGCACUCGCUGUGCAACAAUCCGGUCACCACCUGUCCACAGUUCGAUCUAUAUGAGCCGCACAAGUGCCCAGAUCCACGGCCCAGCCGUCAGGUCAGCUCCAACUACAAUUUGACCUCCCGGCAUUUCCGCACCCAGGCAGGCUUCAAUACGGCACGCUACGAUCGCCGGCAUGUCCACACACAUUUUGCGCCCUGGCGUACAAUGCGAUCUGCGGACUAUGAUGAUUUGGAGUUCACGUGCUGUGAUGUGGUGGGCAAUUACCUAAUCGUUGGCACACACCAGGGCGAGAGCAAGGUGUUCAAUAUGAACGAUGGCGUCGAACAGUUCUCCUCCAUAUGCCACACAUACGGCGUGGAUGCCAUACAGGCGAAUCGUGCCGGAGAUCUCGUUCUGACCACCAGCCUGUGGCGUUUGCGCACCACCAUUUUGUGGUCCAUCACGGACAACGAGUUCCGCUCCAAGCUGCGUCUGCCCGAGGUCGGAUACUGUGAGUUCAGUCAGACCACACAGGAUCGCUUACUGGGAACCCACACGGAUUGCGCCGUUUUGUAUGACAUCAACACGGGCUCCAAGGUGUCCACAUUUACACCCACCAUACCCAAUCAAUACACCAAAAAUAGAGCGACGCUGUGCCGCACUGACGAGCUGCUGCUCUCAGAUGGCGUGCUCUGGGAUGUUCGUUCCGGCAAGGAGAUUCAUAAAUUCGAUAAGUUCAAUCAAUGCAUCUCGGGCGUAUUUCAUCCCAAUUGCCUGGAGAUUAUUGCAAAUACGGAGGUAUGGGAUCUGCGAACGUUUCAUCUGCUGCAGACGGUGCCGGUGCUGGAUCAGCGUAACUGCACAUUUUCGCCCAUGCAUGUGAUUUAUGGCGCCAGCUUGGGUGCCGAUCGGGAUCAUGAUAUGGAGACAACUACCUACGAUACGAGCUUUAAUGUUUUGGAUGCUUACGACUAUUCGAGCAUUGCAACCAUCGAUGUGAAGCGUAAUAUCAACGAUUUGAGCGUCAGUGCGAACGGCAGCCUUAUUGCUGUUGUGGAGGAUCACAGCGGCUAUGAUUCGAAGCAGGAGACCUACGUGAAGAUCUAUGCCGUUGGUGUUAAAAAGAGCGAACGUUCGGAAGAGGUGCGUGCGGUUAAGGAUCUGGCCGUCGAUGAGGGCGUCGUCAGAGGCGGCGGCGGCACGUCCGCAUUAGAGGAGCCGUCACCGCCCGCCAAUGCGCCAGGCGGUGAAUCUGCGCUAAUUCGCAUCGUCGAAGAAGCGGCACGCCCACAUACGCCAGAGCCAAACAUGGCGUUGCUCAAUGCUGAUGCACUUGCAGACGCAGGCGCAGAUGCAAAUGCAAAUGCGAAUGCGAAUGGCGGCAUUGGUGCUGGCGGGGCUGACGACGAGGCACGCGCCCGUCGUCCAAGCCGGCUUAGGCAAUCGUCACAUGCCAAUUCAAAUCUGGCUCGCCAGCAUGCACCCAACAGCUCAAUUGUUGGUGUGCGACGGCGAGCACGUACACUGGGUGGUGCCGGUGCCGUUGCCGGUGCCGGUGCAGCCAUCGAGCUCAGAACGCUCAUGCGGAUGCAGAUGCAGAUGGAUGAUAUUGAAUUUAAUAUUCUGUCUAUGCUUGCAGGAAGAUGAUGAGGAGGUGCCCGAAUCUAAUGAGGAGGGCUCCGACACGGGCUCCGAUACGGGCUCUGAAAAUGCUUUUCCAUUAGGUCCAACUUUCCUCGGUUUCCCGUUACGCAGCCAUCGCAAUCGCAAUUUUAUUGAUAUUGAUUCCUCCAGCGAUGAUGAUGACAACGAUACUGAUC